rnacentral:lncRNA from 1 species
GUUGUGUGGGAAGAUGAAUAGGUGAAGGCGGCAACCUUACUAGAUAUCCUAGGAGAUGGUGGACGGACCGGGUACAUAGAGAACCCUACCGCAAGCGUUGUCUCAUACCGGACGGGGUAUAGGAAUAACUUGUAAUUGAGAUUGUUAAAAGAAAGAGUUCGUAUGUAGUGGGGACAUCCCUAUGAACUCCUAUGGAUACU